rnacentral:rRNA from 1 species
GAUGAACGCUGGCGGCGUGCCUAAUACAUGCAAGUCGAGCGAACGGACGAGAAUCUUGCUUCUCUGAUGUUAGCGGCGGACGGGUGAGUAACACGUGUUUAACCUACCUAUAAUACUGGGAUAACUUCGGGAAACCGGAGCUAAUACCGGCUGAUAUUUUGAACCUCAUGGUUCAAUAGUGAAAGACGGUCUUUCUGUCACUUAUAGAUGGAUCCGCGCUGCAUUAUCUAGUUGGUAAGGUAACGGCUUACCAAGGCAACGAUGCAUAGCCGACCUGAGGGGGUGAUCGGACAAACUGGAACGGAGACACGGUCCAGACUCCUACGGGAGGCAGCAGUAGGGAAUCUUCGGCAAGGGGCGAAAGCAUGACGGAGCAACGCCGCGUGAGUGAUGAAGGUCUUCGGAUCGUAAAACUCUGUUAUUAGGGAAGAAAAUAUGUGUAAGUAACUGUGCACAUAUUGACGGUAACUAAUCAGAAAGCCACGGCUAACUACGUG